AGAAACAGAAACUGGGGAAGAAUUUCUCAGGCUCUGGUCUUGAAUGGGAUAGCUCUGAUGACUAUCUGGUGGUACAAGGUAGCCAGAGUAGCUCCAAUGAAGGGUCCAACCCAGAAAAUCCACUGAUGGGAACAACAAGAAUGAAAUCAAUACAAGUCAGAUUCACAGAUAGAUGACGAGAUGAGAAGCUAUUGGGUCUUCUUAUAGAGCAAUGUUUUCACUUACCAUGUCAUCCCAGGCAUUCCCCCUGUUGUAGAUGAUGGCGGCCCCGAGACUCCUAGCAGGGUUGAUGCCGGUUCCGGUGAUGGGGAUGGUUGCCAGAUGAACCAAGAACACUGCAAACCCAAUCGGGAGAGGAGCCAAAAUCUGCAGUUCAAUUCAGGGAAAAUAAAGGGUGUGUCAUUUUCAGAUCCCAUUCGUAAUAAUUCUCAGGUAUGGUUGAAAAAUGAGAGCGAAAGGGGACGUCCCCAGACCUAGAAACCAUGCUUUACUUUGGCAAUGUUUUUUAAAAACACUUCCCAAAUGAGAAUGUUACACUGAUUUUAAAAGUACCCUUACAGUAUCAACUGAUUACUGAAGAGUUUUCAUCAGAAAGAAAAGUUAAUUUUACCACAAAAAAUGAAAAAAUCAUGGUUUAUAUUUUAUAAAACCCACUCAUUGAUAGAAGUGAUGACAAGGGCCUUAAUUUUUAAAUCAGUGAAACCAUGAUGAUCAAUUUGCUUUAAAAUUUAGAAGUGACUAACGCCAACCAAUAAUACUUUCAUUCAAUUUUUCCAAAAUCCAAAAUCCCUCAUAGAACAUGACCAAGAAAACCAAAGAUAGUAUUCUCACAGACAGAAGUGGUAUUUGUUUUUUUAUUUAAUUCUAAAUAAAACUUUCAUACUUAAUAGUAUUAAGUAUUAGACUGUUUGUUUUUAUAAUAUUUUAUUUUUAUUAAGCAUUAAAAGGUAAAGAAAAAUCAACAUGUUAUUUUUUUCUAUUCAACAAAAAAUUUAUAAUAAGUCAUAGAAAAAUGGAAAAAUAAACGACGUAAAAUCUGAAAGCAAAUUACUUUCAAUAAAAAACUAAAAAAACAAACACCCUCAUGAUUUCUAAAUGGAAUUGAUGUAACUAAAGUAUGCAUAUACGAAGGAUUCAUGCUACCAUACCAAAUCACAUGACCACCAAUUUUUCUAUCAUUCCAAACACAAACAACAUCAUGGUUCCAAUAGUUUCAAAAGAAGGCCAAUGAAUUAAUACUGCCAUCCAACCGCUUGCUUGUCACAUAAUCCUUCAUUUUCUACCCACAUCAAGAAGGUGGUAAAAUAGGUGGUGGAAAAGGUGAUAUGAAUAACAUGCGUCUUCCUCCUUUUUCACUUUAGAAUCAAAACAAAUAUGCUAUUCCAUGCCAUUCGAGCAAGCAAUGAUACAAUGAAAUUUUUUAAAGGAAUUAAUAGCAUGCACAUUUUCAUGUAAUCAUAUUAGAGUCCAUUUGGAAAAAGGGUAAAAACGCUUAAUGAUAAUCGGAUGUGUGCUUUCUUACAAAACUUAAGAGCUUGUUUGUCGUGCUUUUAAAAAAAUAUUUAAAAUUUUUUUUUAAUCAUUUGACAAAAUUCAAAAGGUACUAAACGAUAAUGUUUCUAAAGAAAUACUUAAUAAAUAAUACUUCUAUUAAAAACAUUUCGAAUAAAAGAUGGUCAAAUUUUAAGACCGUCUUUAAAAUAUCCCGAGACACUUGUAUGCGAGUCUUCCAAAACUCACUUAUUUAUUUUUUAUUUUUUAUUUUUUUGGUUUUUAGCAUAAUACAUUGUAAAAAACACUAUCAAAGUACUUUUUCUAGUUUUUAUCCGAACACUAAUAGAUUGUCACUAAAAACGUUUGGCGUGGAAGCACUGCCAUCAAAAGCAUUAAUUACAGAUAAAAGCGCUUUAACCAUUAUGACUCCAGAUCAGCUCUUAGCGUGACAAAGAAGAACAAUCACAGCUCAAUCACUUUACCAAUUGACAAAGAAAUAUAUAACUAGAUAUGUAAAACAAAACCCACAUAUUUAUGUAUAUAUACACAGAGAGAGAAUACUUACUGGAACAUGUGAGUCUCUGGCAUUUCUCUUGGCAUCAGUUGCAGAGAGAACAGUGUAGACAAGAACAAAAGUGCCAACUAUCUCAGCACCAAGCCCAGCAAGCUUGGAGUAGCCAGAAGCCACAGCAUUGAUUCCACCACCCAGCGUCUCAAAGUCAUGUCUCUGGAACCACUUCACCAUACCUGCGCCACAGAUGGCACCCAGGCACUGCAUGAUCAUGUAGAACACGGCUCGGGUUAGGGACAGCUUUCUUGCCAAGAGCAGCCCAAAUGUCACCGCUGGGUUUAUGUGCCCUCCUGCCCAAACCCAUCAACAAAUGAUAAGAUCAACACAGAGGAAACUUUCUCUAGAAAACUGUGUGGAGGCUAUGGGGAAAGAGGUAAGAAAGUAGACAGAGAAAAAAAUGUGCUGCAGGGAGCCGUAUUAUGAAAAAAAAAAAAAAAAGUGUUUGGUUGAUAAGAAACGUAGGGAAAGAAUGAGAAUAAAAAUUUGACCAAAUUGUACGUUAAUUAGGACCUGAAAACACUCAAAUGUUCUCUACUUUUAUUUUCCUCCUCUUUCUCAUCAACCAAACAAGGUCUUUCAAAAUUUCAGAAAACCCCAUCAAAACCAUUCCAUAAUAUCAUGGAAAAAAAAAACCCAGGAAUGCCAGAUACCCAUUUAAAAUCUGAACAUAUCUACCGGCAAAAGCUGAUGAAAACGUCAAAAGAAACUACGGAUCAAACCUUCUGAGCAUAUCAAACCACCAUGGAAAAUAAAAAAGAAAACAAAGGAAAAGCAGAACUCAGCAGAUCAAACAAAAGAAUAGCAAGAGAGAGAGAAAGACAGAACAGACCUGAGAUACCAGCAGUGCAGUAGACAAGAACGAAGAUCAUACCCCCACAAGCCCAAGCAAUACCCUGAAAACCAACAGUAGCACACUUGUUGGGGGACUUGACAACACCGAUAAUAGUCGAGAUGAUGAUGUAGAGAAAGAUGAAGGUGGCCAUGAACUCGGCAAUCCCAGCUCUCCAAAACGACCAUGAAUGAAGCUCACCAGGGUCAAACAGUGGAGCUGGUGGAGGCUCCCUAUAGUCCUUGUCUGUCUGUGCUGAUGUCCCUAUCGGUUGCCUCUCUGCAAACUUGUUGGCCCCCAACCUCACAUCCUCUUCCUUCCCCUCCAUUUUUCUGAGCUCAGUGAUGAAGAUGAUGAACUUCCUGAGCAAAUUGCAGUUGGGUUUGGAGUGAUUUAUAGAGGAAGCAAAGUAAGAGAAAAUAAUAGAAAACAAAUUGUCAAAUGGGGUCCUUCGGAGAAACGUUUGGUUCCGUUCCCAUGUGAAAUGACUAUAUUGCCCUUCUAAUUCACUUUUUAUCUCACUCGUACUAUUAGUAUUAGAUCAUUUUAAUUAAAAGAUAUUUGCUUAAAAGGGGCAGCCUUGCCUUUGCCCUGACUCUAAACAUAAGGAAAUUCCCAGAUUUUCACUCAAGCUCCUAAAUCAUUGAAGCUUUAAGCCGGGAAUUCUUUCAUAGGCUACGGGAAGAACUACAUCUCGUAAGUCAGUGGGGCGGAGGAAAAGAACGUUGGAUUGGGGAAGUAACGAGAAGGAAGAGUCUAUAAAAGAGAGAGUAUGAGUGCACCCAAAGCAAGAGGGGAAAAAGAUAACCUUUGUCUUUUCAAAACAAAAAUGAUUCUUUUUAAGCUAAAUUCCUCACGAUAAAAGAAUUCUCAAACUGUUUGUUUUUCGAAUUUUCAUCAGAAAGUUCAUACAUUUAAUAAAGUAAGUUUUUUUUUUUUAGCUUUUAUGAGAAAAUGCAGAAAAAGAUGAGUGGUUAAUACCUUAACAUUUUAUUAACCAUAAAUUUAAGGGUUGUUGAAUUUUCAUCGGACCUUGUUUGCAUAUAAAAUUUGGGUUGUCUUGUUGAAAUCGAUAAUACUUGUUUUUUGUUUACUUAUUUUUAAAAUAUUGUUUUUAUCAACUCAACCAAAGAGCAUAUAAUUGUCUUGUUGAAAUCGACAUUGCUUAUUUUUUGUUUUAUUUAUUCUAAAAAUAUUGCUUUUAUCUAUUCAACCAAACAUAUCUUUUUUGUUUUUAGGACAAAAAUUGCUAUUUAGAAUUCAAUUCCCAAAUGCAUUUUUUUUCUUCUAAAAACACCAAAAACUGAUUUUAAAAACUUUUUUCAAUUGGGAUUGUUUUCAAAAACAUUUCCCAAACAAGCCAUAAAAUUAGAAUUGUUUUCUUUUGAAAAUCAAGAAAAAUAAAUAAAUAAUAUAAAAGUAGACUUUCUAUAGAAUAAAAAAUAAAUCUAUCUAAAAGGUACGUUCAAAUGCCAAUUUCAAACAACCAAAAAAAAAAGGGUAAAGUUUUCCUUUCUUAUUGUUGGACUAAAACAACUAUACAUGCCUAAUUUUAUAAAAUAUUAAAAUUAUAAACUAUUUAAAAAUUAUAAAUUCAGUAAAAUUCUUAUUUAGGUUAUAAAAAAGUUAUUUAUCAUCUUAAAAAUCAAUUCAAAUAGCAUUUAAAAAAUAACCAAGAAAAAUAAUUGAAUUUUUUUUUUAAAAAAAUUAGGAUUUAUUAGUCAUAGUCUCUUGACACAAGUCUUCCUCUAUACUUUAAUAUUAUGUAUUUAUGUAUAAUAAUGGAGUUUUAUUCUUCAAAUUUUUAAUUAUUUCAAUAUAAUAUUUAAAAAAUAUGUUAAAAUACUUUAAAUUAAAAAAAAAAACCAUUUCAAUUAAUUUUUUUAGACAUGCUUUUAGAAUUAGAAAACCUAUCAUCGUUCCAAAGAACAGCAUCCAAACAUGUCCUAGGCUCCUAGCAUUAGUUUUUUGAAAUUUGGAAAGAAAAAAACAAAAGGAUAUUUAAUGCGCAAUAAAUUAAAGAAUGGUCGUCGAUAAGAAACUAAUGCGAGGGAUGCGUCGCAAAUGGCAGGCCAAUAAAUUCCACACCUAAUAUUGUACAAACAGCGCGUUAUCACCGGGCAUUCCAGUGUGUGGCACCCCCACCAAAGUUGGACGUGAAUGAGAUAAGAAUCAUCAGAUGUCAUGAUCUUCAUCUUGCGAUUAGUCAUCGCAUUUGUAGCUCUGAUUUGGUAGGCCAUGGGUUUGCCAUACACAUUACACACUAUCGUAUUGUACUAUAUUCAUUGAAGAAGACUGAGCUGUAAUGUUUGGUGGGCCCACAGCAUGUUCUGGAUCGCAUUUUCAAUGCUUGUCCCAAAACUCGAAGACUUUAAUAUGAUUUCCAAAUUGGAGUAAAACGACUGUGUUUUGAUUCCUUUGCUCACAACCCAAAAUGAAUUCUUUGGUAGCGAGGUUGGAGCCCAAAGCUCAUUAUUAUUAAAAAGUAUUUUUGAAAAAAAAAAUAUUUGAUAAAAUUUGUGAAAUAUUUUUAAUUUUUUUAAAAUUAAUUAUACUAUUAAAAAAUCAUUUAUAGUGUGUUUUGAAAAACACGAAAAUUUUCCUAAAAAUAUUUUUAGAUAAAAUACUUUUAUUAAAAACAUUUAAAGUCAAACACAAUCUUAAAUGGAGUUAUAAGUUAUUUUUAAAUUUUAAUGGAAUUUUCUAAAAGUAUUUGAGUAAUUUUGUCCAAAUAGCUUCUUAGUUAUAAAAAAAAAAGAAAAAAAAAUCUUUAAAUGAUGUAGGGAAUGUUUGAUAAAAUUUAAUAUUUAUUAUUUAAUGACUUAAAUUGACUUUAAGUUAAAUUAUAUUUAAAUUAUUGAUUUUAAAAUUAUUAAUUAAUUAUUUAAUAAAAUAAAUUUAAAAUUUAUUUUAAAUUAUAAAAUUUUAUAUUUAUCCUCAUAAAUUACACUUAAUUAAAAAAAGUUAAAUAACGAUAAAAGUCAUAAAUAAUAAAAAUGAUCAUGAAUAACAAAUAAGUUAAUUAUUUUACUUAUUAUUUAAAGUUAUUUUUUACUUUAAAUUAUACCAUUAAAUUAUUUUACUAAACAUACUUAAUUUACUUAAUAAUUUAAAUUAAAUUAUUAAAUUGAUUUUUCAAACAAUACCGCCUAAUUUAAUUAAAAAACCAUAUUUUUUAAAUAUUAAUAUAUUAACAUAGUAUAAGCUUUAUUAAAAUAAAAUAACAACUUAUAUAAGUCAAAUUUUAACUUAUACAAAUCAAAGAUUUGUUUGACAAAACUAGUUAGACACGUAUUAAAAAUUCAUACUAAACUUAAAAAAUAAUUUACAAAUUAGUAUGGAAAUUAGAAUAAUAUGAUUUUUAGUACAAAUUAUUUUUUAACUUGUAUGAAGAGCUAUUUUAUAUUUAAAUAAUUGAACAUUCUCUAAUUGAAGCAAUAAAAAUAAAUAAAUAAAUAAUAAUAAAUAAUAAAUCAUUUAUAAAAAAGAAAAAGAAAAAUAUUUUUAUCAAAUAUUGAUUAUUUUUUAAAUUAAAAAUUGUGGUCAAUUAAGGCCCUGCAAAUGAUCCAAAUCACCAUUAAAAUCAAUCUGCGAGAGAAGAAGAAGACAUUAAAGAUGGAAGCUUCCUUUUCAUUCAAAAGCUGCCCAUUGUAAUAGAAGCAGCCCAGAUAACUUACACACAUAAUAACCAGCCCCACCUCUAUUCUGAGCUCAACCCAGAUUCAGGAGGAGGAAGAUGAACAAGAAGAAGAAGAUAGAAGCAGCAAAUAAAAGAAGAAACAGAAAAUGGAGGAAUUUCUCAGGCUCUGGUCUUGAAUGGGAUGGCUCUGAUUACUAUCUGGUGGUACAAGGCAGCAAGAGCAGCUCCAAUGAAGGGUCCAACCCAGAAAAUCCACUGAAGGGAACAACAAAAGAAUGAAAUCAAUACAAGGCAGAUUCACAGAUAAAUGAUGAGAUGAGAAGUGAUUGGGUCUGAUCAUGGA
rnacentral:lncRNA from 1 species